rnacentral:rRNA from 1 species
GACAGAGGAUGCAAGCGUUAUCCGGAAUGAUUGGGCGUAAAGCGUGCGCAGGCGGUUAUGUAAGACAGAUGUGAAAUCCCCGGGCUUAACCUGGGAACUGCAUUUGUGACUGGCGAGCUAGAGUAUGGCAGAGGGGGGUAGAAUUCCACGUGUAGCAGUGAAAUGCGUAGAGAUGUGGAGGAAUACCGAUGGCGAAGGCAGCCCCCUGGGCCAAUACUGACGCUCAUGCACGAAAGCGUGGGGGAGCAAACAGG